UAAGGAAUAUUGGUCAAUGGACGCAAGUCUGAACCAGCCAUGCCGCGUGGAGGAUGAAGGUCCUCUGGAUUGUAAACUUCUUUUAUCUGGGACGAAACACUUCUUUUCUAAGAGGCCUGACGGUACCAGAUGAAUAAGCACCGGCUAACUCCGUGCCAGCAGCCGCGGUAAUACGGAGGGUGCAAGCGUUAUCCGGAUUCACUGGGUUUUAAGGGUGCGUAGGUGGGCAGAUAAGUCAGUGGUGAAAUUUUCCGGCUUAACCGGGAAACUGCCGUUGAUACUAUUUGUCUUGAAUAUUGCGGAGGUAAGCGGAAUAUGUCAUGUAGCGGUGAAAUGCUUAGAUAUGACAUAGAACACCAAUUGCGAAGGCAGCUUACUACACAAUCAUUGACACUGAGGCACGAAAGCGUGGGUAGC
rnacentral:rRNA from 1 species